rnacentral:rRNA from 1 species
GACAGGGGUGCCGAGCGUUAGGCGGAAUCACUGGGCUUAAAGCGUGUGUAGGCGGGUCGUUAAGUGUCUUGUGAAAUCCCACCGCUCAACGGUGGAACUGCUGGGCAUACUGGCGAUCUUGAGCCACCUAGGGGCAGACGGAACAAGCGGUGGAGCGGUGAAAUGCGUAGAUAUCGCUUGGAACGCCGACGGUGAAAACAGUCUGCUGGGGGUGUGCUGACGCUGAGACACGAAAGCCAGGGGAGCGAACGGG